rnacentral:lncRNA from 1 species
GACUCCCUAGGCAAAAGCAUGGAUUUGUAGUGACAAGGCUUAGUGCUUGUUCCUGGGAUCAAUCAUGUGUGUGAGCAUGUGUGCGGUGUGUGUCUGGGGGCCUGCCAGGCCACUGGCAUUUGGAGGCAAAAGUGGGCUCUGGACUGUAAGCUGUGCUUUCUCUGUCCUGAUGAAGUUUGCUAAGUCAAAAGUACCCUUUUACAACACCCUUGUUGAAGUUGUGUGGAGCCUCCUGUCUCUGGACCCUCAACCCAGAGGCUCUGGAGUGGGUUCCCUGAUGAAACAGCAUCUCUGAAGAAACCUAACCAACCAUGCCUUGUAUCUGAAAUGAGGAAUGGGAUAGCCAGGCAUGCUGGCACGCUACUCAGACCUUCAAAAUGUCUGCUGGGAGAUUUGUUCUGGGUGACUGUGGGAAGCUGCAGCUGAACUCUGGUGGACUCCUUCAGCUCAGGCAGCUGAUUCUUGUGGCUUCCGCUGACUUGUCCUGAUUUGGUGGAAUGUUGAGGUUUCUGCUGGAUCAAGCCACUGCUACUGAUUCAUGUUUGGUGCUUGCUAUGGGACUGAACUGCUGAAAUCCUGGCAAGAAAGAGUGGAAUCAUCUCAAAGAACUACUUCUAAAUAGGUCUACAAACCCCUUUCCCUAUUAACCUUCUUUUCCUUCUCCCUCUGAUUCUUCGGCUGCCGUAGAUUGAAGAAAAUAGGAAUAAGCAUCUUUCGACCACAAACAGAUGUGCUUGAUAAAGAAAAUGUCAGCAAAAAUACUGAAGCAAUGUGUCACAGCGGCUUUCUGACAGAUAGCAGGAAAAGAUUUGUUCACAUUCUGCUACCUGUGAGCUGGUGUUGCCAUGUCCGGAUGACUUAAGAACCCAUAUUCCUCAGCCUUCUAACAUGGGCUGAUGACAAGUAGCUAGCUCCACAGGACACCUCCAGACUUUCAGUAGAAAACUGGGGCUGGUGAAACACUCAGCCUUGUGGCCUGAGAAGCUAUGAGGUUCUCAGCUUCUGAAUUCAGUGUGAGGCAGCCAUUAUUGAUUACCUGGACUAUCAUAGCCAACAAGUUUCUCCAGGAACAGCAUAGUCAGACUUGAAACUUCUGAAGAUCUCACCAAGACUCCAGAGACAGAAUGAAUGUUCUUUGGAGAGGGGUGAGAGCUUCACUUACUGGGAAGAGACAUCUGCUGAUGCUGUACGAGGCAGCAAGGCACAACUCUCAGUUGGCCCCAUGUUCAGGAUGGGGAACAUCCUGUGCUGUCUUGUGUAUGUAUACAGGCCACCUUAGCUGUCUGGGCUGACACUGCCUGUGCCCCAAUUAAGACAAGCUCAAAGCUGUUUUGAACUAAGGAAAGAGAUGAGCAGCUGAAGAGGCAACAGCCCAAUGAAGGAGGUUACUUUUAAAGCAUUUCCUAGGGAGCCAGUCUAAAGCCUCUUCUAAUAAGCUGACCGUGAUCGUGGCUCGGAUAACAUGAGAGCCUGUUACGUAUUACUUGUUGAAUAAAAGAAGAAACUCGGAAACUGUAAUCCAGAACAUUUACAGAAACAAUGGUUUUAAUUUGUCAGAGACCCGCAGGAAGUCAUGGCUUACUCAUCUCCGAGCCUGAGAAGCAGAGCAAAUGCCCUGGACACAGCUUGCUCUUUCACAGGACCUCGUGCAUGCAUGAAGUGGUGGGGGUUUUAUUUGAGCGGGUUUUUGUAUCCUCUUUUUUUUUUUUCUCUAAAUAGCUUUUUGAAAAACAAUGUUUUGAAAACUGGAACUUGCUGGAAGCCCUAGGCAUCCGCUAAUGACUACAAUAAAGGCCUGCCCAGUUGCUUUUGUGUUGACAGGACUUUGUGGCUCUGUGAGUCCCUGCUUUGCUUGUAACUUCCUGAUUAAACUAAGCUUUUAAUUGAUUAUAAAAUGACCUAAUUUGAAGAAAAUCGGAAGAAAUUUAAUUUUAGCAUUUUAGCCCACGAUAUUGAUAUUGUAACCCAUUUUCAAGUUUUCAUUCAAUUUUGAAGUAAUUGAGUAGCUAAUGAGUGUGCUUCGAGUAUCUGUGUAUUAUAAUAUUUGCACAUAGUGUCUGUCACAUUUAUUGCAAACAGUGACCCUCUAAGGUGAGUGUGGUUAAUAACACAAAUUAAUGUUUCUAUAAACGUAUUGAAAUUUUUAUAUGUAAGUAUAUGCAUGUGCUAUUUUAAGCUUCAUAUUAAAUCAUAUUUUAAAAUGACUUUUACAUUUUUGUGGCAUAUAAACAUAUGCAGAUAUAUGUGUGUAUUUCCCCAGCUAAUCUCAACCUCUAAUACUUAUGUUACUAGAAGUUUUUCCAGGUUUAAAAUUCUCCAGCUUAACCUAUGUGUUCUUCCUUUAUUGGGAUAAUUUUUGGAGAACUUUUCUGAUUCAAGGUACACGGUUCAUAUUCUCAAGUUUCUCUCCACACUAUCUAAACUUAGCCCUUUUUGCACCAAUAAAUACCCAUUGCUCCAUGGCCAUAACAAAACAGGUACUGUCAUAACUUUGUUUUUAAUUAUGUAUACAUGUGUGGGAAUGUGCAUGUGAGUGCAGAUGCCUACAGGGGACAGAAGGUGUCAGAUUCGUCCAAGCUGCAGUUACUGGUGGUUGUGUUUGACCCAAUAUGGAUGCUGAAAACUGAACUCAGAUUCCCUCUAAGGACAUGGCUGCUCUUAACCACUGAGCUAUCUAUCCAGCCCUGCUACAAAAUUUAAAGUUUCAAAGGUCAGCAAUUUUAUGAGUAAAACUAACUCUCAUGCUUCAUUAACCUUCAGAUGUCGUAUUGGGGAUACGUUUAGAUUAGUGUGCAGUUGUGAACAAUGAUUCACAGGGUCGUCAUGUUUCUGCCCCUGCCUGUCUUGGGUAAGACCUGGUGAGCUGUAGUGUCACAGCAUGCCAGAAUCUUGACAUUGACACAGUCAAGACUCUAUUGUAUCCCUCCACAGGGUCCUCUCACAUUACCCACAUCCUCCCUCUGCUGCCCUGAUUGCUCUCUGUGACAAAUCUGUUCUCCAUUUCUCUAGUUUUGCUCUAUCCUUAGCUUUGUGUUAAUGGAAUAAUACAGGACUUUCCAUAGAUACAUAUGGAAUAUGUAGGACUUUUCUCAGUGCUAUCGGGUGUACUGUGGAUGAUGAAGCCACAGAUGACAGUAUAAGUCAUUUUGUCUGCUCAGAGUAACCAUGCAUACAGGUUCUGGAGGCUGUACUGAACUAUACACUUUAUUUCUAGUCUAAGUCUCAGCCCUAAAAUUGAUGUUACAUGGUAACUCCAUGUUUGGUUUGCCAAGGAGAUGUCAAAUCAUUUUUCAAAGUUACCAUGACUGUUCAACUUCAAAGCAGCCAUAACUCGAUGUGUAGACUUCAUCAUAUUUUUAUUUUUAUUAAAAUAUUUAAUGCUUGUCU